GGCUCUGGCUUCGCGCCCGGCCUCCUGCUCGCCUCUCCCUCCGCGCCGGCCCCGAAAGGGCGGGCGUCCAGCGCGCGGGCAGCUGCGCCCUUCUUCCCUACGGGGCCCAUCCACCUGGGACCCCGGUCCGGGGCCCAGGACGCAGGAGCUCCGCGCGCCCACAGGUGCCCUCCCCGCAGAGUCUUUUGGCCGCUCCCCUCCGCCCGGCUCCGGCCUGCAUCGCGGUCAUCGCUGAGAGCCGCGCACGAGGGGACGGGAUGCCAGUGUGACGGGCGUGUGGCAUGGCCGGAGACGCGUCUAACCCUGAUCCUGCGUCCGUCACUCGCCCAACGGACACUGUGGAACAGCGAAGGAUAAGACCUCAGCACCUGCCCUCUCAGAGCUAGCUUAUCAUUGAGCUGGGAAGACUCGAUCUAUUGUGGAGCAUCGCCCGAAAGUGGGGAGUCUGCGUCUUAAAUACGCCAGGAUGGAUUUAGCGAUUGGGACGGAGCAUGGAUACGGUCCUUGGCACUGUACCAGGUAGACACCAGUGAUGCACAGAUGUCAGCCCUGGCCUGCACGCUGCCGACAUUCUACUGGGGGAGCUAGACAAGCGCCACUUCCACUGAGAGGACACCUGGUUUCUCCAGCUACAAACAGUGGAACAGCCAACAGCAGCUGUGCAGGAAGGAGAACCAGAGCACAUGGCUGAAAACACGCUGUGGGGUCUUGGGUGACUGUGGGUGUGGGCAGGGAGGACUGGGUUCACGCGAGGACAGGAAAUCCUAUGUUAAUAACUCUAACUCCUCAAUCUACAGGAGAGGCAAAUCCCUGGCAGAAGAACCAGAACCCAGGGACUCUGCCCGAUUUGACUGUUGCUUUAUUUCUGUACCCAUGUUGCUAUCUAAAGGCAGGGAACUGAUACUCGUUCAUUUCUCUCUCUCACCCAACCUUCCACUCAAAAAGAGCCUUGUGUAGAAGGACGGAAUGGGGUGGGAGGUGGGAGGUUCAAGUGAGAGUGAACAUAUAUAUACUUAUGGCUGAUUCAUGCUGAUGAAUAUGACGGAAACCAACACGAUAUUGUAAAGAAAUUAUCCUGCAAUUUAAAAUGAAUUUUAAAGAGCCUUUUGCAGGCUUAUUCAGAUGUUUGAAAAUCACCUGCU
rnacentral:lncRNA from 1 species